GUGCUCACUUCAGCAGCACAUAUACUAAAAUUGAAAUGAUACGAGAAGAUUAGUAUGGCCCCUGUGCAAGGAUGAAAUGUAAAUUCAUGAAGCAUUCUAUAUUUUU
rnacentral:snRNA from 1 species